AAAAACACAGCGAUUGGGAGUAGUAGAAGCUUAUUAUUCGGUCAAGAGAGCUACGGGUUGGUGCAACGUAGUCCAAUAAUACUUUGAACUCGCCCAGGAGUGGUAAUUCAGAAAGAAUGCAGAAGUAUUCUCUAAGUUUUAACGUCUAACCUUCGUUAUCAGGUUUUAAGCAGGGUUCUUUAAGAGCCAACAAGAGUGGUACCGCGGUCAGCUAAAGCUUAUCGUCUCUUCU
rnacentral:ncRNA from 2 species